rnacentral:sRNA from 1 species
AGAAACAUUCACACCUAGCUAGAGCAGUUCCUAAAUCCUCAAAAUGUGUGAACUAUUUUGGAGUGUGUCCGACAUUGUGUCUGUUGUAUUUAUCAUAAUAGAAAUCAAAUGCUGUCCUGGUUGUACUGGACUGGAGGGAAUCAGUAUCAAAAAUGCAUUAAAGAUUGCUUUUGGUUGGAAAGGACUUUCAGAUAGAAACGAUAGUGCAUGUUCGAGAAUUCGUCAAAACAUUAUCAAAUACAUAUUCAUUCCUCGUAUUGGAUUCGGUUUGGCGUUUUGUCUGACAGAAUUUGGAUUAUUAUGCGCCGACAAUGUCGAAAACCUGGGCAAUUUUUCACCUACUUUAAAAUCGAUGGUCGCCAUCUUUGUUUUGUUGUUUCUAUAUUUGGCUGCGAUGUUACAUAAUGCUUGUUGUACGAAUAAUUUUGAAAGCAUUCCUUUCCAUAUGGGACUUGUGGUUCUAUUCAAAAUACUUGAUUUCUUGGUUAACGGUGCUAUGCUCAUGCUAGCGUACGAAUACACUUACAAGACGGUUAAACCCGGAAUCCACAUCACGUUCGUCAUAUAUGUUUUCUCAUUUUGUGACGUAAUAGUUUGUGGAAUACAACUGUUUAAAUCCACUACUUUUACCAUCCGCAAAAUUUGUUUUGAAACCGAAACUGAAGGCAAUGGCAACGAGCCAGAACGAGAUCAAUACCAAAGUAAGUGGCCGACGAAAUAUUGAGUACGUGCGCUGGUUAUAAACAAAGACGAAAUAAAGAUCCACAGAUGAAGAUAUAAUCUUCCGCAUCCUUACCAGAAAUAUAAUUACCAGUGAUUACAAGUGAUUAUACAUAAUUAUAUAGAUAUUUAGUUUAUACAAAGAAGGUGAAGAAGUUGUUUUGUUGUUUUUUUUCUCUUUUUUUCUUUGGUUUUCUUGUUAGCGUUUGCUUUUGGGUUUUUUUCUUUUUAUUAAAAAAAUGUAUUUCAUAGUCUUCAGUUUAAUUUUCUGUGAUAACACUUGUUAAACAAUUUUAACCGUUUUACAUGAUAUUAAUAAACUUUUUUACCAGAC